CUGUUGUCGUCGCGGCAGCAGGAGCAGGGUGGUCUGUCGUCCCGCACUGGCGCUGCUACUGCUAGUGGCGCUGCUUCUCCUGCUGGGUCCGUGUUCGGCCGAGCUGAACGCCGGCGCGGGCCGGCGGCUGCUGGUGUCGCGGCCGUCGACGAGCCGGCAAAACAAGGCCGAGCAGCAGCAGCAGCAGCAGAUGCGGGUCGGCGGGAGGAACACGCCCUUCAAGCAGGCCGCCGCCAGCUUCGGCCGGAGGAUACCCAGAUCCGGCUGGAACCCCAUCCAGAACAGAUGAGAGGGACCGCGUCCUAG
rnacentral:misc_RNA from 1 species